rnacentral:lncRNA from 1 species
CACGGUCACCCCUCCUUCCACGUUUGACGGUCUCCCCUCCUCCCCCGUUCGCAUUCUCCUCUCGGAUCUCUCUCUCUCUCUCUCUCUCUCUCUCUCGAUUGCCUGCUCACCUCCCUAACCUCUUGCUCUAUCAGGUUGCGCGAACGAACCAGUGCUCUGGACAUCAGCACUACGCCCCUAUGGAGAUGACGAAGAUUCGAGGGAUGGGUUCACAGCGAAAGAUGAUUUUUGUGGUGCAUAGACAACGCCUUAUCUUCCUCUGCACCGUAGGAUGAGCAGAUCCAUCUUCCACAGCGACGGCGGCAGGGAGGUGCUGGUUCUUUUCUGAGUGCUAUAGCUAUGCCUUCCCCUGCCGCUCCCCUUCCCUCAUCUCCUCAGUCUCUGCUCCCCACAUGCCUGCAAGUAACACUCCAGUCGCCUCCUCCGGCGUGUGUACUGCUCCUUUUAUCCGCUGAUUUGGUCCAUCCAUAUGUUCUCGGAUCCACCAAUUUCUUACCGAGGGAAAAGUGCAGAAAGUAUAUAUUGAUUCCCCUGUAGUAUGUUUCUAGGACCAUUUAUUUAUUUAUCCUCAAAACCACCGGACCACGGUGGGAACUUGAU